AUACAGUCGUUGUACAGUACGACCAUCAAGGUUGUAAAUUUCUUUAGCAAACUCAUUUUUAUAUAUUUUUAGACUGUUUACCGUUUGACUCCUGUCCCAAUCUAACCUAGUGGGUUCAAAAAGAAAGGACCGCGCUGGAAACAUGAGGGGGUUAAAAGGAUUAGCACUUUUUGAAUUAAUAUUCGAUGUCGUAACUAGCUCGUAUGAAAGGAAUUCUCGACGUGAAAUAGUUUUAUUGAACAACGCCAACAAACAGAGCUCACUCAAAAAACAGGAAAGAAAGGGAAAGAUGAAAAAAUAUUCUGUUGAACAAUA